AUGGUCUUGAUCUCCUGACCUCGUGAUCCGCCCGCCUCAGCCUCCCGAAGUGCUGGGAUUACAGGGGAUGAACAAUCAAUACAUCCGUCGAGAAGUCUUCUGCUGUGGAACUUGUCAUGAGCUCAAAAGCUUCUGGGAAAAAGAAAUUAGCAAACAGACUUUUUACCGAGAACUGGAGGAAGAUUGUCAGGAAAGAAGCGCCCUAAAAAAUCUCCCCCAGCGAACUGUUUGAAGACAUGAUUGCAGCAGCCACAGGACUCAAAACCAGGAUACCACCAGGAGCUGGGGAAGCGAGGCUCCCUGUGGUCUCUCCUUCAGCCUCGAGGCCACCCAC